AAUGAACGCUGGCGGCGUGCUUAACACAUGCAAGUCGAGCGAGUGAGUUCUUCGGAACGAUCUAGCGGCGGACGGGUGAGUAACACGUGGGCAACCUGCCUCAUAGAGGGGAAUAGCCUCCCGAAAGGGAGAUUAAUACCGCAUAACAUCGUUGAAGGUCAUCCUUCGAUGAUCAAAGGAGCAAUCCGCUAUGAGAUGGGCCCGCGGCGCAUUAGCUAGUUGGUGAGGUAACGGCUCACCAAGGCGACGAUGCGUAGCCGACCUGAGAGGGUGAUCGGCCACAUGGGGACUGAGACACGGCCCAGACUCCUACGGGAGGCAGCAGUGGGGAAUAUUGCACAAUGGGGGAAACCCUGAUGCAGCAACGCCGCGUGAGUGAUGACGGCCUUCGGGUUGUAAAGCUCUGUCUUUGGGGACGAUAAUGACGGUACCCAAGGAGGAAGUCACGGCUAACUACGUGCCAGCCGCCGCAGUAA
rnacentral:rRNA from 1 species